rnacentral:lncRNA from 1 species
CUUUGAGAAUGUUCCAUAUGCACUUGAGAAGAAUGUGGACUCUGUUGUUUUUGGAUGACAUGUUCUAUAUAUAUAUCUAUUAUGUCCAUCUGAUACACUGUUUCAUUUAAAUCCACUACUUCCUUGUUCACUUUCUGUCUGGAUGAUGUAUCCAUUGUUGUAAGUGGGGUAUUGAGGUCCCCUACUAUUAUUGUGUUGCUUUUCAUUUCUCCCUUUAGUUCUGUUAACAGUCGCUUUAUAUACUUUGGUGCUCCUAUGUUAGCUGCAUAUGUAUUCAUAAGUGUUUUGUCCUCUUGGUGUAAUGCCCUUUUAUCAUUAUACACUUCCCCUCUUUGUCUCUCAUUGUCUUUUUUACCUUGAAGUCUGCUUUGUCUGAUAUAAGUAUGGCAACACCUGCUUUAUUUUGUUUGCCAAUUUCUUGGACUAUCAUCUUCCAUGCCUUCACUCUGAGCCUACAUUUGUUUUUAGAGAUGAGAUAUGUUUCCUGGAGGCAGCAUAUUGUUGGGUCUUGUUUUUUAAUCCAACCAGCUGCUCUGUGUCUUUUAAUUGGAGAAUUCAAUCCAUUUACAUUUAGAGUGGUUAUUGAUAUAUAUGGACUUAAUACUGCCAUUUUAUUUAUUCUUUUCCAAUGGUUCUAUAUUUCCAAUGUUUCUCAAAACGGAUGCAAAAAUCCUCAACAAAAUAUUGGCAAACUGAAUACAUCAAAAACAUUAAAAGGAUUAUACACCAUGAUCAAGUGGGAUUUAUACCAGGGAUGCAAGGAUGGUUCAACAUCCGCAAAUCAACCAAUGUGAUACACCACAUUAACAAAAUGAGGAAUAACAAUCACAUGAUCAUCUCAAUAGAUUCAGAGAAAGCAUUUGACAAGAUCCAACAUCCAUUUAUGACAAAAACUCUCAGUAAAAUGGGUAUAGAAGGAAAGUACCUCAACAUAAUAAAGUCCAUAUAUGAUAAACCCACAGCCAACAUCAUACUUAACAGUGACAGGCUGAAAGCCAUCCUUCUGAGAAUAGGAGCAAGACAAGGGUGACCACUCUUACCACUCCUAUUCAACAUAGUACUGGAGGUUUUGGGCAGAGCACUUAGGCAAGAAAAAGAAAUAAAAGUUAUCAAAAUUAGAAAAGAAGAAGUGAAACACUUGCUGUUUGCAGAUAACAUGAUUCUAUAUAGAAAACCCUAAAGAACCCAUCAGAAAACUAUUAGAAGUAAUAAACAACUACAGCAAAGUUGCAGGGUACAAAAUCAACUUACAAAAAUCAGUUGCAUUUCUAUAUACUAAUAACGUACUAACAGAAAGAGAAGUCAAGAAUGCAAUCCCAUUUACAAUUGCAAUGAUAAGAAUAAAAUAUCUGAGAAUAAAUUUAACCAAGGAAGUGAAAGACCUAUACACUGAAAACUAUAAGACAUUAUGGAAAGAAAUUGAAGAAGACAUAAAGAAAUGGAAAGAUAUUCCAUGCUCUUAGAUGGAAAGAAUAAACAUAGUUAAAAUGUCUGUAUUACCUAAACCAAUCUAUACAUUCAAUGCAUUCCCAAUCAGAAUCCCAAUGACAUUCUUCAUGGAAAAAGAACAAAGAAUCCUAAAACUUAUAUGGAAUAACAAAAGACCCCAAAUAGCCAAAGGGAUCCUGAGAAAAAAGAACAAAACUCGUAGCAUUACAAUCCCUGACUUCAAAAUAUACCACAAAGCUAUAGUAAGCAAAACAGCAUGGUACUGACACAAAAACAGAUACACAGAUCAAUAGAAUAGAAUUGCAAGCCCAGAAGUAAAACCACGCAUCUAUGGACAGCCAAACUUCACCAAAGGAGCCAAGAACAUGCAGUAGAGAAAGGAAAAUCUCUUCAAUAAAUGGUGCUAGGAAAACUGGACAGGCACAUGCAAAAGAGUGAAAGUAGACCAUUAUCUUACACCAUACACAAAAAUUAACUAAAAAUCAAUUAAAUACUUGAAUGUAAGACCUGACACCAUAAAACUCCUAGAAGAAAAUAUAGUUACUACACUCUUUGACAUUGGUUUUAGCAGCAUGAUUUUGAAUGCCAUGUCUACUCAGGUAAAGCAAACAAGAGAAAAAAUAAACAAAUGAGACUACACCAGACUAAAAAGCUUCUGCAGGGCAAAGGAAACCAGCAACAAAACGAACAGACAACCCACGAACUGGGAGAACAUAUUUACAAAUCAUAUAUCCAACAAGGAGUUAAUUUCCAAAAUAUAUGAAGAUCUCAUAUAACUCAACAACAAAAAAACAAGCAGCCCAAUCAAAAAAUGGGCAGAGGAUAUGAACAAACAUUUUUUCCAAAUAAGAUAUACAGAUGGCUAAUAGAUACAUGAAAAGAUGUUCACCAUCACUAAUUAUUAGGGAAAUGCAAAUCAAAACUACAAUGAGAUAUCAUUUUAUACCUGUCAGAAUGGCUAUAAUAAGCAAGACAAAAAAUACCAAAUGUUGGAGAGGCUUUGGAGAAAAGGGAACCUUCAUACACGGCUGGUGGGAAUGCAAACUGGUACAGCCACUAUGGAAAACAGUAUGGAGAUUUCUCAUAAAAUUAAAAAUAGAAAUACCAUAUGAUCCAGCUGUCUGACUACUGGGUAUUUAUCCAAAGAACUUGAAAUCAACAAUUCAAAGAGACUCGUGCACCCCUGUGUUCAUUGCAGCAUUAUUCACUAUAGCCAAGACAUGGAAGCACCCCAAGUGCCCUGCUGUGGAUGAUUGGAUAAAGAAGAUGUGGUGUAUAUAUGCAAUGGAAUACUACUCAGCGUAAAAAAUGACAAAAUCAUCCCAUUUUCAACAACAUGAAUGAAGCUUGAAGGGGCCUUCCUUCUCGGGGGAGGCGGCAAGUCAUUCGCAGGCCAGAGAUGAUGUUACGUGGAACAACCAAUGAAACAGUCAGACCGCUACACUUCCUUCUCAGAAUGCCCCAUCCCGGACUGGCCACUGCUCACAAAGCAAGAGGAUGAGACUGACGUCCAGAGAAGCCCUCAGUCAUUAUAAGAGCCACAGGAAAGGGAUCCCUAACCAUCAAAGUCUUUACUAGGAUCAUAAAAAGAUGAUCUGAUCUCCAGUGCCUACCAGGGAGGAAUAAUGGCACAGCACAGAGGGGCAGGAUGGAGACUGCAUCCUAACCAGGGCCCAACGUGUUUGUCAUCCCACCUGAUGAGAUGAAGCUGAAAUAUUAAAUAGAGCAUAUUUCUGAAUAUCUUUGGCUAGCAGUUGUGUUACUAAGUAACAGUUUUUAAGGUCACAGACUCAAAUGACCACAAGAAAUAGGAUGAGAAUAAGACACUAGGGAGUGGUGGGGACUUUGGUCAACUGGAUAACACAGGUUAGUGUGAAGUCUAGCAAUUAGCUAUUCAAUUCUGGCAAAUUGUUCCCACGUUAAAAUCUGGGGCCAAUGUUACCAGAUCUUUCAAGGUUUAGGAAAAGUGUAUCCAGAAUUUAAAUGGCACAUCCUGUUUUUAAAACUUAUUGUGUAAUUUUGUUGAAACACUGUGUAAAUAGAACAUAGCACCUCUGCAGUGCUGGACCUGUCCUGGGGGUUACCAUUUGUACGCUGGAGCUUUGCGAAGAUAAUAGUUAGGCAUGGUGGUCCUCCUGUUCACUCUAAUCCAGUCUCAUUUUCUGUGGGACUCUAGGUCCACUGGUAAGAAUAGCAACAAAGUGAGUUUUAUACACAACAAAUGAGAUUGUGAAUAGAUGACCCGGCUGUAAGCUCCUUAGAUACUAGAAUAAUGUGACAGAUUCUCAUCCCUGGACAUAGCUUUAUGUGACUAUGAUGUUUCAUUGCUGGGGCUUCAGGGACCAACCCAUCUUGCAAGAUCUGAGCAUCCACAGAAUCUUUGCUUCAGAAUUUACAAACAGCCACGUAUGAUGAGCACAGUCUAGCAUGUUCUCUGUAUUCUUGGCCUAGUCUGAUAAAAUCCCCAUGUCCAUCAGCCAGGGCUAUAAUUGCAACUGACAGAUGAUCCAGCUUUAAAGACAGGACCUUUCACGACCUGGAGAGGAUGCGGCAGAUGCUCCAUGCAGGGACAGCUGCCCAGGAGGCAAAGUUUAGAAAUCACACCU